AGAGUAGGCGCAGGCGGUUGCAGAUCGGUUAUGAUAACUGGUUUGAGGAAAGUCCGGGCUCCCGAAAGACCAGACUUGCUGGAUAACGUCCAGUGCGAGCGAUCGUGAGGAUAGUGCCACAGAAAGAUACCGCCAGGACUGGGGAAUAGGGACUGGAGACUGGGGGACUGGGGAAGAAAUUUCCCAAUACCCGAUCCCCAAUUCUCAAUACCCGAUUCCUGGUAAGGGUGCAAAGGUGCGGUAAGAGCGCACCAGCAGUGUCGAGAGGCACUGGCUCGGUAAACCCCGGUUAGGAGCAAGGCGAAAGGAACUAUGGUUGGUCUUUUACCAGUUCCUACAAUAGAGCCGCUAGAGGCGGUUGGUAACAACCGUCCCAGAUAGAUAACUGCCCUCGCAAGAGAACAGAACCCGGCUUAUGUCCUACUCUCGAA
rnacentral:RNase_P_RNA from 1 species